AAUUUCCGGCUGCGUUUGACGCUCGUCAAUAAAAGGUUACAAACAAUGAAUCCCUCCGCAGGAUGUGGUCGCCGGCGUAAGUGCGCAACAAUCGAAUGAAAAAUAAGGAAAUGGUAGUCGUAGGGUUGCUUGAAUGGGGUGAUUUAUUCUGAAAAUAUUAGCUACGGUAUCGAUGUGUCAAGUCCCACGUUUUGCGCAUUGAUUAACCAAUUGGUAAGCGGUGAGCACACGUGGGCGUGUUGGGGUCGUUAUCGAUGGGCUGAGAAGUGCGAUGUGAUCUACGAGCAGCGAGAUGGCCGGGCCGGAGAAGGAGGAAGAAGUUUCGUUGUCGGGCGAAGGUAACGAGGAGGGGGGGACUGAAACUGCAGAGAGCGGAAGUGGCAAUUCAGCGUCUUCAUCGCCAGCCCGAAUAGAAGCGAAGGGUAACCCAACGCUGGAAUUGAGAAUUGCCUGAAGUCGCGUUGGCGUGAGCCUAGAAUAGUAGGUAGCUCAUCGGAGCGAGAAUUGUGGGUAGGUUCCAGGAGGCGGUGGUGUGUAUUUGAAAUGCCUCAUCAUUGGUUAAACCGGUCGGGUCACCGUUCCCUUGGACCAUUCUCUGCAUGCUCGGCAGCCUGUGUAUCAACUAUCACGUGUACCUACAUUAUAUGCACACA